AUCCUUGAGUUGGAUGCACUGCUCAGUGUUGUGGCCAUGGUCCCGAUGGAAUCGACAGUACUUUCAUCGGUCGAGGCCCUUUGCCUUCAAAGGUGGAGGCCGUCGCAGAUAUUCCUCUCCUUCGAUCUCUAUCAAAAUCUGCGCACGAGGAGCGGAGAGAGGAGUAUAGGAGUCAUACCUGGGAUGCAUCGGCCUCGGACUCCGCCGUCGAGG
rnacentral:lncRNA from 1 species